rnacentral:rRNA from 1 species
AAUGGGCGAAAGCCUGACGCAGCAACGCCGCGUGGGGGAAGAAGGCUCUAGGGUCGUAAACCCCUUUCAGCAGGGACGAAAAUGACGGUACCUGCAGAAGAAGCGCCGGCCAACUACGUGCCAGCAGCCGCGGUAAUACGUAGGGCGCAAGCGUUGUCCGGAUUUAUUGGGCGUAAAGGGCUCGUAGGCGGUUUGGUAAGUCGGGUGUGAAAACUCAGGGCUCAACUCUGAGACGCACUCGAUACUGCCAGACUAGAGUCCGGUAGGGGAGUGCGGAAUUCCUGGUGUAGCGGUGAAAUGCGCAGAUAUCAGGAGGAACACCGACAGCGAAGGCAGCACUCUGGGCCGGUACUGACGCUGAGGAGCGAAAGCGUGGGGAGCAAACAGGAUU